rnacentral:snRNA from 1 species
GUGCUCGCUUCAGCAGCACAUACACUAAAAUUGGAACGAUACAGAGAUUAGCAUGGCCCCUGCACAAGGAUGACACGCAAAUUCAUGAAGCGUUCCAUAAUCUA